GACGAACGCUGGCGGCGUGCUUAACACAUGCAAGUCGAACGGAAAGGCCUUUUCGGAGGUACUCGAGUGGCGAACGGGUGCGUAACACGUGGGUGAUCUGCCCUGCACUCUGGGAUAAGCCUGGGAAACUGGGUCUAAUACCGGAUAGGACCGCACUUUAGUGUGUGUGGUGGAAAGUUUUUUCGGUGUAGGAUGAGCCCGCGGCCUAUCAGCUUGUUGGUGGGGUAAUGGCCUACCAAGGCGGCGACGGGUAGCCGGACUGAGAGGUUGGUCGGCCACAUUGGGACUGAGAUACGGCCCAGACUCCUACGGGAGGCAGCAGUGGGGAAGAUUGCACAAUGGGCGCAAGCCUGAUGCAGCGACGCCGCGUGGGGGAUGACGGCCUUCGGGUUGUAAACUCCUUUCGCCAGGGACGAAGCGUUUUGUGACGGUACCUGGAGAAGAAGCACCGGCUAACUACGUG
rnacentral:rRNA from 1 species